rnacentral:rRNA from 1 species
UACGAAGGGGGCUAGCGUUGCUCGGAAUCACUGGGCGUAAAGCGCACGUAGGCGGACUCUUAAGUCGGAGGUGAAAUCCUGGAGCUCAACUCCAGAACUGCCUUCGAUACUGAGAGUCUCGAGUCCGAGAGAGGUGAGUGGAACUGCGAGUGUAGAGGUGAAAUUCGUAGAUAUUCGCAAGAACACCAGUGGCGAAGGCGGCUCACUGGCUCGGUACUGACGCUGAGGUGCGAAAGCGUGGGGAGCAAACAGG